GGGAGAACCGUGUGCAGUUUAGGCUAAAAAUAACCCCAGGAAUGUUCUUAUUUUCAGCACAGCCUCCACCCUGCACUGGCUGCAGAGCCUGGCGGGGCCCCACUUACUGGUGCCGUGGACCUCCUCCCCGGUGAAGCGGAUGUUGAAGGCAUAGGUGGGGUCACCGCCACUAGCCAGCUUGACGCAGAGCUGGGACGAGGGCACCGAGGCCAGCUGCCUGGCAGCCUGGCAGAAGUAGGAGUUUUCAGAAGCUCUGAUCUCCCCUGGGAAGAGAGGAACCGGUUCACAUGCCGUGGGGACUCCUGGCUGCCUCCCCAGCAGCCAUUGCCCCCUUUUCUUCGAUGCCAGAACCCUGACGCUAGCAAGUGCACGGCCAAGCAGAGGGGUCCAGCGUGAUCUCGGGAGCCGCGUGGUCAGCCGUCCUCUGCGCCGUGGCAUUCAGCACCCGAUUCAUGACGGUCACCUUCGUGUCAUAGAAGAUGAGCCCUGCGGGGAGGAAUGUGGGAGAGAGGCCGCGCUGGGGCUGCUGCGUGUCCUCCGCUGCGACCGAGGCCUGGCGGACGACACGCCGUCCGCUCUGGGUCUGUCUCGUCUCUUCGGGGAAGCCCUGCGGGGCCCUGACGCUCUCGGGCGCCACGGUCCCGACUUCAGAGACAAGUUCUUAGCCUCUGCCCCGAUGGUAACACACGAACCCUGACUCUGUUGUGCCCAGGAAACACCUAGUGGCCAGAAAUACAUACAGUACGAGGACGUU